UACGUAGGGCGCAAGCGUUAUCCGGAAUUAUUGGGCGUAAAGAGCUCGUAGGCGGUUUGUCGCGUCUGCCGUGAAAGUCCGGGGCUCAACUCCGGAUCUGCGGUGGGUACGGGCAGACUAGAGUGAUGUAGGGGAGACUGGAAUUCCUGGUGUAGCGGUGAAAUGCGCAGAUAUCAGGAAGAACACCAAUGGCGAAAGCAGCUCUCUGGGACGGUACUGACGCUGAGACGCGAAAGCGUGGGGAGCGAACAGG
rnacentral:rRNA from 1 species